ACUACCGGAGAUCUGCGAACGCAACGUAUGACGUAACAACUUGAUUUUACCCAAAAGUCCUGACUUUCAAAAUGGCGGAUUAAGCAUUUCGCGCCAAUUUGAGUUCGUCGGCGAUCCAUCGCAGAAGCGUCGCGGAUCCACUGGAACAGAUCGCCGAACGUUGUCAGUUGCAACCGGCGACUACGUCGCAGGCAGGUCGGCUGUAUAUGAGAACCGGGCUUAUAUGGGCUAUAUAGGUAUAUGCGGCCUCAAAGGGUAUGGUUUUUCAGCCGUUUUGGUCAUAAAUAGCCGGGGUAUAGAGUUUUUAGGAGUAUGUGUAUUCUAGUUCUUCCUCUUGGCCGGAGAACUAUGGGAUCAUCUGUUCGCACCCGAGAUGCAUGGGACUGUAUGUAUGGGACCAUCUAUGCCCAAAAUUGUAGGGAGGCUAUGUUUUUUAAAGUGGCCGUUGUCGAGAGUUGAGGGCUAGUGGGAGCUGGUACUGUACUCGUGGUUCGCACAUGUCGUACCGUUAAUUUUGUUCAACGGAUUGAUAGAGAAAAAUUGACAUUCGCAAUCUAGUGGGUUUACGGAGGCGGCUGAAUACCGGAGGUGAACAGGAUUGCAGCUAGCCUGUGAAUACGGUUGCCUCUGCGCGGAUACCAUGUAACCCAGCAAACACUGAAAAGGUCAUUUAUUUUUUUCCCCAAGAUCUGAACCUAUUAGGGGAAGAAAAAAAACGCGCCGCAAAACUUGAUGCUGGCACUUUCAUGGUAUUCCUUUCAACAGUUUCCUAAAAUCAAACAAACAAGCAGUCUACAAGCGUUCUACAUUUAUAAUGUUCGCAAGAGGAUGAGCCGAAGUUUUUUGUGUCUUGUUGAAUAACUAAAUCUUAAACUCUUUGAUAAUGGUGGAAUUUGGUGAUCCACAGUUUUUGGGGACGGCUUGCCCUCCCCCACCUCUUCCACGUGCUACGCAGACAGCCCCUCUCCCUCUCCUCUCCCUCUCCUUCCCGUCUUCCAACCGCUUUUUCCCUCUGAUCUUUGCGGGCGCAGUUCGUCUCCGCCAUCUUGCACGUGUGAAAGGUAAAUAGUGGAAAAUUGUGUUUACCGUAAUUUCAAAGGUUUGUCCAAAGGCUUGCAUCAGUGCGUUGAUGUUACCUGAUCUGAGGCAUAAGCUAAAUUUCUUUACUUUUUCAGUUUUUUUUUUUGCAUGUUGAAGCCAUAUUGUGGAAUGAGGAGAUGUUGUGUUUGAAGACCUCCGGAGGAAUGGACGCAUAAGGUUUUAGGACUUUGUUUGUCUAAACAUCCAAAUGCCAUUUUCUCCUGAAGCAAUACAACACAAGCUUGGCUUACAUGUAGUUGUAGAACCAGCUAGGAAAGCAGACUUUUAGUGAGGAAGUGAUAAGUUCUCCGAUCAUUAAGCACCUUGUUUAAGUUUACUAUGAUACAAAUAAACUUUAGUAGAUGUUUUAAUUUUAGCAAUAGGAAUAAGCUUAACCUCAAUUCUAUAUGGAUUUAUUUUAAAAGUCAUUGCUGUGUUCCAA